rnacentral:rRNA from 1 species
GCCUAAGGUGAGGACGAGAGUCGUAGCCGGUGGACAACAGGUGGAGAUUCCUGUACUAUGAUAUGACAGAACUGUGGGGACACGUGCAGAGAGCGGAAGCCGGGAAUGGUAUCCCGGUGCAAGCGAGGUACCAGAUGCGUUGGAAAAACCGCGCAUCAAUGGGAAGACGUGAUGCGGAGUGAAGUUUAGUAAUGAAGUCCGUGAGCUGUGCGUCAAGGAAAGCCGCUAUUGUUCAUACCAUACCCGUACCGUAAACCGACACAGGUGGAUGAGGAGAGAAUCCUAAGGCCGGCGGAAGAAGCAUUGUCAAGGAACUCGGCAAAAUGACCCCGCAACUUCGGGAGAAGGGGUGCCACUGAGAAGUGGCCGCAGAGAAUAGGCUCAAGCAACUGUUUAGCAAAAACACAGGUCUAUGCGAAACCGUAAGGUGAGGUAUAUGGCUGACGCCUGCCCGGUGCUGGAAGGUUAAGAGGAGAGGUUAGCGGAAACGCGAAGCUUUGAAUUUAAGCCCCAGUAAACGGCGGCCGUAACAAUAACGGUCCUAAGGUAGCGAAAUUCCUUGUCGGGUAAGUUCCGACCCGCACGAAAGGCGUAAUGAUUUGAGCGCUGUCUCGACAAUGCAUCCGGUGAAAUUGAAGUACCAGUGAAGAUGCUGGUUACCUGCGCCAGGACGGAAAGACCCCAUGGAGCUUUACUCCAGUUUGGUACUGGGAUCCGGUACUGCAUGUACAGGAUAGGUGGGAGGCUAUGAAAUGGUAACGCCAGUUGCCAUGGAGCCGCUGUUGGGAUACCACCCUUGCAGUAUUGGGUUUCUAACCAGCCGCCGUACCCGGCGGUGGGACAAUGCCAGACGGGGAGUUUGACUGGGGCGGUCGCCUCCGAAAGGGUAUCGGAGGCGCCCAAAGGUUCCCUCAGGAUGGACGGAAACCAUCCAAAGAGUGCAAAGGCAGAAGGGAGCUUGACUGCGACACCGACGGGUGGAGCAGGUACGAAAGUAGGGCUUAGUGAUCCGGUGGUAUUAAGUGGGAAUGCCAUCGCUCAACGGAUAAAAGCUACCCUGGAUAACAGGCUUAUCACUCCCAAGAGUUCACAUCGACGGAGUGGUUUGGCACCUCGAUGUCGGCUCAUCGCAUCCUGGGGCUGUAGUAGGUCCCAAGGGUUGGGCUGUUCGCCCAUUAAAGCGGUACGCGAGCUGGGUUCAGAACGUCGUGAGACAGUUCGGUCCCUAUCCGGCGUGGGCGUAGGAUAUCUGAGAGGAGCUGUCCUUAGUACGAGAGGACCGGGAUGGACGGGCCGCUGGUGCACCGGCUAGACUGCCGAGUCUAUAGCCGGGUAGCCAAGCCCGGAAGGGAUAAACGCUGAAGGCAUCUAAGCGUGAAGCCCCCCUCAAGAUGAGAUAUCCCAUCCGAAAGGAGUAAACCCCCUUGAAGACGACGAGGUUGAUAGGGCAGGGGUGGAAGUGUGGUAACACAUGGAGCUGACUGCUACUAAUAGGGUGAGGGCUUGAUC